AGGAGGACGACAAAGAGGCUCCUCUGAUCACCGAGGCCAGUGACCCCAGCAUUAUGCUGUUCUACUUCCGCGACAAGCCCAUCUUUGGUGGGAGCAAGAGGAAGGAAUCGACCAGCGACAAAAAGAAACCGGAAAAGUCGAAGGAGGUCAAACAGCCAGGGAAAGUCCAGCUCAAGGUCGGGGAAGGCGAAUGGUCAGACAAGUUCUCGCUGGACACCGUGGGGAGUAGCGGGAACGUGGCCUCUAAACACAA